rnacentral:lncRNA from 1 species
GUGCGCGGCUGCCUCAGGCGGCGAGGAUCUGAGCUGGGCCCUUCAGGAGCCUCUGCGGGGCACUGUGAGGCGUCCGGACCACCGCCUGCCGCCGCUGUGAGCCCCAGAGGGCUCCGAGUCCGCACCCUGGAGCCGCCCUCUAGGGCGCGGCGUCUUUCGGGGUCGCCUGGACGCUGCAUUUCCUCCGUGCCCACGGUCUGGCCUUGGCGGGGCCCGCAGAGCCCCACGGAGCUCGAAGGGUGUGGACGAGGGUGACGCCCGUGCCUUCGAGGAAGCGUCUCUGCCCAAAGCGGGUCUGGUUUCGGCGGAGAUGCCGUGUUUUUGGUGAGCAGCAUCGCCGGCCUGACCCACUUGGUCGCGUUACUCUGCUAGGAUGUGGGGCAUUAUGUCAGGACCCGCGGCCAGAGGAACAAGGAGGCACGCGACUGCCCUGGCGUCUUGGGAGACGCGAGCUGGAUCUUACAGCACCAAGCUUCUGCCCCCGCCCAGAAUACGGCAUAGUUCUCCGGGGGAAGGGGCGGUCAACAGACUCCAAGGAACCCCGAGAUUUGGACAAAUAUCCUUCCUUAAAGAUUCAUAAGCAAGCAGAGAAGAAGGUUGUGACUGACACAUCUCUAUGUUUUCAGGUAGAGAAAAUGAUUGGUAUUCGGUAAACCCAGUGUUCACUAAACUGAAGCCUCUUCUGUUGCCAGCCUUUGGGUAGAACAGCAAUGAGGCAAGCUGGUGAUCAGCAAGCUGCUGCCUGGGCCCUUCUCUGUGUGCUUCUCCGGGGAGACGAAACAUCCCUGCCCAUACAGCCACAGCCACCCGGUCAGAACAAAACGGCAAAGGAAAAGUCAAGAGUCUCCUCACAUUUCCAUCGGAGAUUAAAGGUCAAGAUCUAAAAAAUAGUCUGGAAUUCUUCUGUGGUUGACUUGAAAAGCUGAGGCUCAGCUAUGAAUACUCCUAUCUCCACCG